AAUAUCUUAUAAUUACCCUAGCUCAAGUUAUAAUUACUGCAUUUACAUCUUACUUUUUUUCGGGACUUGGGGAAUGUGGGAUCUUGGGUUGCUAAUUUGAUUCAUGAAAGCGAUUGCAAGCUGUUCAUUUUUAAUACUCAGCAUUCCACAAGCCUUUUGUUGAGUUUUUGUAGGUAGAUAGGAUGGCAGGUGGGACCCAACUAGCAUCCUAAUCUUCUUGCUUUAACGUACUAGGAUCUAAGGGUGCAAACCAAGGUCAAAUGUGAGGUUGUUGGCAACAGUAUUAGCAGAUUCAGUGUUGGCUGGUGAAAGGUCUUUGAUGUCUGCCAUUUCAGCAGUGUUGCUUGAUAAGCUCUACAAGAAAUACUUAAUUAAAAUGAAGCGUAAAAGAAAGCUGAUUAAGGAGAUGCAUAUUUUCAUAAUGUGUCUAAAUAGGAAGACCUCGGGUUGACUAUUCCAAGCCUGAGAAAGCCAUUUCCAUCAAUAAAAAGGUUGCCUGUGGGCGCUGUUGCUGGGUCCAUUUCAGGUGUGGCUUUUGAUACAAGUCUAUUAUCGUUUAUGAUUUUUUGAAGAAGAAGGAUAUUGAUUUAAAAAAAAAGAAUGGAGGGAGCAUUGGUGGCAUUUGUUUACAAAGAUUUACAACUAGCUACAACUUCAGUACGCAUUACUGCAUUAGAGACUCUCUAGAGCCAUUAGCCCAUUAGCCAAUGUGUAAGAAUCUACAUUAACAAAUCGUCAUAUUCUACAAUUGUUUAUUUAAUCUUUGUUUAAUCAAAUUGUAGCUUUUCAAUUGUAAAUAAGAUUUGAUACUUU